CCUACGGGAGGCAGCAGUGAGGAAUAUUGGUCAAUGGUCGUAAGGCUGAACCAGCCAAGUCGCGUGAGGGAAGAAGGUACUAUGGAUUGUAAACUUCUUUUAUAGGGGAAUAAAGGUAUCCACGUGUGGAUAUUUGCAUGUACCCUAUGAAUAAGCAUCGGCUAACUCCGUGCCAGCAGCCGCGGUAAUACGGAGGAUGCGAGCGUUAUCCGGAUUUAUUGGGUUUAAAGGGUGCGUAGGUUGUUUUUUAAGUCAGCGGUGAAAGUUUGUGGCUCAACCAUAAGAUUGCCGUUGAAACUGGAAGACUUGAGUUUGUUUGAGGUAGGCGGAAUGCGUGGUGUAGCGGUGAAAUGCAUAGAUAUCGCGCAGAACUCCGAUUGCGAAGGCAGCUUACUGAGCCAUAACUGACACUGAAGCACGAAAGCGUGGGGAUCGAACAGGAUUAGAUACCCCGGUAGUC
rnacentral:rRNA from 1 species